UUUUUGGAGAGUUUGAUUCUGGCUCAGAACAAACGCUGGCGGCGUGCCUAAUACAUGCAAGUCGAACGGGGAAAGUAGCAAUAUGAGUACUAGUGGCGCACGGGUGAGUAACGCGUGGGUAUCUGCCUUGAAGUGGGGGAUAACAAGUCGAAAGAUUUGCUAAUACCGCAUAAGACCACUUUUAUUAGUGGUAAAAGAUUUAUCGCUUCAAGAUGAGCCUGCGUAAGAUUAGCUAGUUGGUAGGGUAAUGGCCUACCAAGGCGAUGAUCUUUAACUGGUCUGAGAGGAUGACCAGUCACACUGGAACUGAGACACGGUCCAGAC
rnacentral:rRNA from 1 species